rfam:Glossina palpalis gambiensis isolate 146720 unplaced genomic scaffold Scaffold285, whole genome shotgun sequence.
GAGUAGUAUUUUGUUUUUUUUUUUUUUUUUUUUUUUUUUUUUAUUUUUUAAAAGUAUGUAUCCAAGUGCAUGUGUGCAAGAAUUUAUGUACUCGUAUGUGUAGAGGCAAAAACCCCGGAAAGCGAGUCAAAAAACAAAUACCUCAUACUCGGCAAUGUUUCACUGCAAAAAAAAAAAAAAAAAAAAAAAAAAAAAAAAAAAACCCCCCCCCCCCCCCNNNNNNNNNNGGGGGGGGGGGGGGGUUUUUUUUU